rnacentral:rRNA from 1 species
UACGGGGGGGGUAAGCGUUGUUCGGAAUUACUGGGCGUAAAGGGCUCGUAGGCGGCCAACUAAGUCAGACGUGAAAUCCCUCAGCUUAACUGGGGAACUGCGUCUGAUACUGGAUGGCUUGGAUUCGGGAGAGGAAUGCGGAAUUCCAGGUGUAGCGGUGAAAUGCGUAGAUAUCUGGAGGAACACCGGUGGCGAAGGCGGCAUUCUGGACCAAUAUUGACGCUGAGGAGCGAAAGCCAGGGGAGCAAACGGG